rnacentral:rRNA from 1 species
AGGACGAACGCUGGCGGCGUGCUUAACACAUGCAAGUGGAGCGACGAACCGGGGCUUGCCCCGGGGCAGAGCCGCGAACGGGUGAGUAACACGUGGGUAACCCACCCCGAUGACCGGGACAACCCGAGGAAACUCGGGCUAAUACCGGAUGUGUUCCCUGGUCACCAGACCUUGGAGCAAAGAUAGCUUCGGCCUUCGCAUCGGGACGGGCCCGCGGCCCAUUAGCUUGUUGGUGGGUAACGGCCUACCAAGGCAACGAUGGGUAGCUGGUCUGAGAGGACGAUCAGCCACACUGGGACUGAGACACGGCCCAGACUCCUACGGGAGGCAGCAGUGGGGAAUCUUGCACAAUGCGCGAAAGCGUGAUGCAGCAACGCCGCGUGGGAAGAAGGCCUUCGGUUCGUAAACCCUUCGAGUUGGACGAAGCUUCGUACGGUUAAUAGCCGGCGU